rnacentral:rRNA from 1 species
CGAAUACCUUUGCCGGCGACCGGCGCACGGGUGAGUAACACGUAUCCAACCUGCCGAUAACUCGGGGAUAGCCUUUCGAAAGAAAGAUUAAUACCCGAUGGUAUAAUAAAGCCGCAUGGUUUAAUUAUUAAAGAAUUUCGGUUAUCGAUGGGGAUGCGUUCCAUUAGGCAGUUGGUGAGGUAACGGCUCACCAAACCUUCGAUGGAUAGGGGUUCUGAGAGGAAGGUCCCCCACAUUGGAACUGAGACACGGUCCAA